GCGAGAAAACUUCACAAUGCCCGCAAGGGUGAUGAGGGUAUCCGGAGUGCUUCCUUAGCCGGAAGCUUUUAUUCAGUGUAAAUAGCUAGAUGAAUAAGGGGAGGGCAAGGCUGGUGCCAGCCGCCGCGGUAAAACCAGCUACCCGAGUGGUCGGGAUUUUUAUUGGGCCUAAAGCGUCCGUAGCCGGGCGUGCAAGUCAUUGGUUAAAUGUCGGGUCUUAAGCCCGAAACUGCUAGUGAUACUACACGCCUUGGGACCGGAAGAGGCAAAUGGUACGUUGAGGGUAGGG
rnacentral:rRNA from 1 species